rnacentral:rRNA from 1 species
UACGUAGGGUGCAAGCGUUAAUCGGAAUUACUGGGCGGAAAGCGUGCGCAGGCGGUUUUGUAAGUCUGUCGUGAAAGCCCCGGGCUCAACCUGGGAAUUGCGAUGGAGACUGCAAGGCUUGAAUCUGGCAGAGGGGGGUAGAAUUCCACGUGUAGCAGUGAAAUGCGUAGAGAUGUGGAGGAACACCGAUGGCGAAGGCAGCCCCCUGGGUCAAGAUUGACGCUCAUGCACGAAAGCGUGGGGAGCAAACAGG